rnacentral:rRNA from 1 species
UACGUAGGUGACCAGCGUUGUCCGGAUUUACUGGGCGUAAAGAGCGCGCAGGCGGUCGUUCAAGUCGAGUGUGAAAGCCCCCGGCUCAACUGGGGAACUGCACAGGAAACUAGCGGGCUUGAAUCCGGGAGAGGGAUGCGGAAUUCCCGGUGUAGCGGUGAAAUGCGCAGAUAUCGGGAGGAACACCAGUAGCGAAGGCGGCUCGCUGGGCCAUUCCUGACGCUGAGACGCGAAAGCAUGGGGAGCGAACAGG